rnacentral:rRNA from 1 species
UACGUAGGGGUCGAGCGUUGUCCGGAGUUACUGGGCGUAAAGCGUGUGCAGGCGGCUCAUUGCGCCCGGCGUGAAAGCCCCCCGGCUCAACCGGGGAGGGUCGUCGGGGGACGGGUGAGCUUGAGGGUAUCAGGGGCUGGUGGAAUUCCCGGUGUAGUGGUGAAAUGCGUAGAGAUCGGGAGGAACACCCGUGGCGAAGGCGGCCAGCUGGGAUACACCUGACGCUGAGACACGAAGGCGUGGGGAGCGAACGGG